rnacentral:snoRNA from 1 species
AUCCUCCAGAUUCCUUACCUGUCCGACCUAAGCACUGGUCUGGGUGGUAACAAAAGGAGGGAAAGUAAAAUUGAUUUAAAAUCUUGUAUGCCACACAAGCUAACUUAAACAAAA